GCAAUUGGGGAAUUGUAUCAGUCCAAUGGAGUUCUUUCGCGGAAGACCUAGCCUGGAAGAGAAUCGCACCAGAGAGUCUCAACGAGCGAUCUAAACUACUGAUGCUUCAUGAAUCAUUUUCCCUUCUUCCAAGUUAACAAUUCCUGCUUAUUCCUACUUUAAUUAUGUCUAGGAAAUCAAAUUCAGGCUUUCUAUUUCUAUAUUACGAGGCGAUUCUCACGGUGAUUCUGCUCGUGACUCGGUCCAACUCAGCACCUCAGGCCUUUCGGAGAGACCCAGGGCAUCCUCAGUGGCAUCACGGCGCAUUUCACGAUGUCAGAGACAGCGUUCGUUCAGAUGUUCGCCGGAUGCUCCACACUCGAGCGGAGGUUCCGUUCCAGGUA
rnacentral:misc_RNA from 1 species